rnacentral:rRNA from 1 species
UACGGGGGGGGCAAGCGUUGUUCGGAAUUACUGGGCGUAAAGGGUUUGUAGGUGGCUCGCUAAGUCAGACGUGAAAUCCCUCAGCUUAACUGGGGAACUGCGUCUGAGACUGGCGAGCUUGAGUGCAGGAGAGGAACGCGGAAUUCCAGGUGUAGCGGUGAAAUGCGUAGAUAUCGGGAGGAACACCAGUGGCGAAGGCGACUACCUGGCCUGUUCUUGACGCUGAGGCGCGAAAGCUAGGGGAGCAAACGGG